UAUGGCACUAAGUGGGCAGAAAUUGCAAGGCUUCUUCCCGGAAGGUACUUUACCUGAAUGUAUUAUGCAGGCUUCAAAACAUAAGUAAAUAUUUAAGGAUACUAUAUAUUUUCAAUCAUGUUCAUAUGAUUAAAUUUGGUUAUAGUUCUUAAUUUUGACGGCCUCGGGAAUUAUACCACGAGUUACAUGUUUUGGAAAGAUUUGCACAAGAUUAUCAGGAUAAGUGUGAAGAGGAGGAUAAUUUAAGUCCAAAUCAAAAGGCAGGGUAAUUGAAUCACUUUGGAGUUCCUGGUUGUCAAAUCUAGUUCUAUGCCUUCAAAUACAAGGGAUGCAUUGUAUUAGAGCUUACCUCCUAAUAUAAAAUUAUUUUUGCCUUCCAAAAUACCAUCCCCCAAGUAACAAGGGGCGGGCUCUUCUUCAGAUUUUUUUUAUUACUUCAGAAUAUCCCUCAAGUCACAAGAUCUGAAGCUAGUUUUAGAGCUUCACAAGAAUAAACUAUGAUGCCUUAUACAGUGGACAAAGUUAAUUCAGAGUUCCAAAUCAACAAAUUCAACUUUCUUUAUUUGGAGUUGGCUCAGGAAUGUUAGAAUUGGAGAAUCAGAUCAAUCAGUCAACACUAUAGUUUGCUGCCAACCUAUAUGUUGUUUUAUAGUACUAAAUUUUUGCUCAUCACAAUAUUUUAUAUUGUUCUUGCAAUAUAAUUUUCCCUAUUGUAGUAGGCUGUCAUUGGGAUCAAAAUGUAAUUUCUUUUUUAUGUCUAUUAUAUUCAUUGUACUUUUGGUUUAUAUAUAUAUAUAUA